CCCCUUCCUGUCAGUUUCCUUUUCUCUCUCCCUCUCUCUCUCUACUACUCCUUUAAAAGACUGCAGCAAGUUGCAGCAAGACAGCCAAAUAUUGAUCAAUGGGGUGUGUGUGUGCGAGUGUGUGGUGUGUGUGUGUGGAAGGGACCGGGCAGAGCAGGGAGGAGGGGGGUCCUUGCUUUUUUUCCUUUUUUUUUCCCUCGCUCUUUUUCCCCUCCUCCCUCCCCCUAGCCAACGAGCAGCUCCCCCCGCUCGCCGGGGGCCCCCCUCUCGCCGCCGCUGCUCGGGCAUUGCACCGGGAGCGCUGCCGGCUCUGCAGUGCCCGCUCCGCGCCGAGCCCCGCUUCCCCGGGCGGGCGGCGAGCGGCCCCCCCGCUGCAAAGCGCCGCUGCCCUCCUCCCUCCCUUCCCUUCCCUGCUUCCCUCCCUCCGCACACACACGCGUGGGGAAUUGGCUGGGGCGGGAGGAUGAUGCUGCAUUUUAACAUCCCCCGAUCCCUCCCUCGUCCCCCCCCNNNNNNNNNNNNNNNNNNNNNNNNNCCACCCCUCGGUCCAUCCCCACCGGUCGCCCCGGGCAGCCCCCGCUCCCCUUCCCCGGGGGAGGGCUUUGCGCGGGGACUUUGCGGAGCAGCAGCUCCCGGAGCCCCGGUCCCACGGCUGCUGCAUCCCGCCGCGGCACGCCGCGCUGCCCCGAGAUGCACAGCAGCCCCACAUCGCCACCUCUCCCCUUCAUCCCUCGUUUGCAGCCCGAGGUCGCCCGGGUGGAGCCGCCCCAUGCUGCUGUGAGGGGGACAGGGACUCCGGGUGAGGUGUGGGGUGAAGGGAACGAGGUGCCCAGCAGCUCCUUUCUGCAGCCCAACCGCCUGGAACCUAUGCCCUGGCUAGCAGCCCUGUGAGCAGUGACCUAGCGGCUCUAGGACAAGGGUUCCUGACCCUCCUCCAGCUGGAAAAGACGUUUUUCAAGCAAAGCCACCAGCAGUCCAUUACAUAAGAGCAGAGAAAUUCUGCAGCUCCCAGGACUGAGGGAGAGCAGCAGAGAAAUGCGUGUGUUUGCAGGAGG
rnacentral:lncRNA from 1 species